rnacentral:rRNA from 1 species
GACGUACUGCGCGAACGUUAUUCGGAAUCACUGGGCGUAAAGGGCGCGUAGGCGGCUUUAUAAGUCGGGGGUGAAAGCCUGUGGCUCAACCACAGAAUUGCCUUCGAUACUGUAUGGCUUGAGACCGGAAGAGGUAAGUGGAACUGCGAGUGUAGAGGUGAAAUUCGUAGAUAUUCGCAAGAACACCAGUGGCGAAGGCGGCUUACUGGUCCGGUUCUGACGCUGAGGCGCGAAAGCGUGGGGAGCAAACAGG